ACGAUACAUUUGGCUCGUUGCUGCUGAAUGUCUCGUAAUUCCUGAUCAUGGCGUAAUUUCUGACCAUGGCGAAGAACUGAACACGUAUGUGGCCAAUUGUGGUCGAUUAAAUUCUCGGUUCUUGGUGGUUUAUCGGACAAACCGUGGUCACGAGCUUGCUAUCAAUCCAAGCAGAAAGCAGACGGCAUGUCACGUUCGCGCAGAGAAGAGGCGAAUCGAUAUCGCUUCGUUCCGUAUGAUUCUUCCCAAUCAUCCAAUCGCCUCGUGAAAAUUGGGAAAAUUUCUACCAAUAGUUACCUGCACCUGUCGACAUCAGCCAACAGCAGCAGGAGCAAUAGCCGAAUGGAAAUUUACCGAUGCGCGUGUGCAAUUUGCUGUGCGUCAAUAUCGACUAGUUAUUUGCGGACAUACGACGUAAUUGAGCGUGUCGACGAGCCUCUGGAACGCUGGGUCCACAGAACUACGCAAAUUAUAUUGCUAUAAAGAUUUGUACCGAUGGUACUGAAUUAGAUUGACACGCAGUCGCGAAUCUACGUCCGUUCUCGACAUACGGUGUACCGGACAAUUAUCACUGAAUAUUCUUUUCAUUUCGGAUUUCUCAACCGAUUUGAAACCGAUCUUUUCUCACCCAAGGCGCCUUUAGUUUUCC